UACGUAGGGUCCGAGCGUUGUCCGGAAUUAUUGGGCGUAAAGGGCUCGUAGGCGGUUUGUCACGUCGGGAGUGAAAUCUUACAGCUUAACUGUGAACUUGCUUUCGAUACGGGCAGACUUGAGGCAUUCAGGGGGAGAACGGAAUUCCUGGUGUAGCGGUGAAAUGCGCAGAUAUCAGGAAGAACACCAAUGCGAAAGCAGCUUCUGGGACGGUACUGACGCUGAGACGCGAAAGCGUGGGGAGCGAACAGG
rnacentral:rRNA from 1 species